rnacentral:rRNA from 1 species
AAAGACUUGACGCUCAGAUGCGAAAAGCGUGGGUAGCGAACAGGAUUAGAUACCCUGGUAGUCCACGCCGUAAACGAUGUCAACUAGCCGCUUGUUCCGUUCAGGAGNGGUGGCGCAGCUAACGCACUAAGUUGACCGCCUGGGGAGUACGGCCGCAAGGUUAAAACUCAAAUGAAUUGACGGGGGCCCGCACAAGCGGUGGAGCAUGUGGUUUAAUUCGAUGCAACGCGAAGAACCUUACCUACACUUGACAUCCAGAGAACUUUCCAGAGAUGGAUUGGUGCCUUCGGGAACUCUGAGACAGGUGCUGCAUGGCUGUCGUCAGCUCGUGUUGUGAAAUGUUGGGUUAAGUCCCGCAACGAGCGCAACCCUUAUCCUUAGUUGCCAGCGAUUCGGUCGGGAACUCUAAGGAGACUGCCGGUGAUAAACCGGAGGAAGGUGGGGACGACGUCAAGUCAUCAUGGCCCUUACGUGUAGGGCUACACACGUGCUACAAUGGCGGAUACAGAGGGUCGCUAACUCGCGAGAGUGUGCUAAUCCCAAAAAGUCCGUCGUAGUCCGGAUUGGAGUCUGCAACUCGACUCCAUGAAGUCGGAAUCGCUAGUAAUCGUGGAUCAGAAUGCCACGGUGAAUACGUUCCCGGGCCUUGUACACACCGCCCGUCACACCAUGGGAGUGGGUUGCACCAGAAGUAGCUAGCUUAACCUUCGGGGGGGCGGUU